rnacentral:rRNA from 1 species
UACAGAGGGUGCAAGCGUUAAUCGGAAUUACUGGGCGUAAAGCGUGCGUAGACGGUUAUUUAAGUCAGGUGUGAAAGCCCCGGGCUCAACCUGGGAAUUGCAUUUGAGACUGAAUAGCUAGGGUGCGGAAGAGGGAAGCGGAAUUUCCGGUGUAGCGGUGAAAUGCGUAGAUAUCGGAAGGAACACCAGUGGCGAAGGCGACUACCUGGACCAGCACUGACACUGAGGCACGAAAGCGUGGGGAGCAAACAGG